rnacentral:lncRNA from 1 species
CAGAGGCUUAUGAUGUACUGAAAUCAGUUGGGAAGCUCUCAAAUGAAGAGCUACAACAGGUUUUCUCCGAAUGGAACAAGGGGGAGCUCCUGAGCUUCUUGAUUGAGAUCACUGCAGAUAUAUUUGGAAUUAAGGAUGACAAAGGAGAUGGGUACUUGGUAGACAAGGUUUUAGAUAAAACUGGCAUGAAGGGUACUGGAAAGUGGACAGUCCAGCAAGCAGCUGAUUUGUCAGUUGCUGCCCCCA